UACGUAGGGUGCAGGCGUUAAUCGGAAUUACUGGGCGUAAAGCGUGCGCAGGCGGUUUGCUAAGACAGGUGUGAAAUCCCCGGGCUUAACCUGGGAACUGCGCUUGUAACUGGCAAGCUAGAGUGUGGCAGAGGGGGGUGGAAUUCCACGUGUAGCAGUGAAAUGCGUAGAGAUCGGGAAGAACACCAGUGGCGAAGGCGGUCCGCUGGGCCAUAGCUGACACUGAGGCGCGACAGCGUGGGGAGCAAACAGG
rnacentral:rRNA from 1 species